UGCGUUGGUGGGUAAGAGCCCCGUUAAUUAAUGUAUGCACUAGAUAACGGUGAAGCCAAUGGGAUUGGCUCGGCAGAUGUGAUAGCGUGACAGUGAUGGAUUGGCCACGGCGCUCGGCCCACGUGUGCUCCACGGAAGCGCCUCGCCCCCCCCCCCCACUCACUCUCUCCUCGUCGCUCCAGACUUGAUACCGUCCGCCGAGAUGGAUGUAAAUACAUUAAACUGGUCAUUGGUGGCGAGACUGAGACCCAACAACUCGCGCUUGAGAAGCCGCUCUCAUCACGGUGUGUCGUCUGAGAAGCGUGGCGAGGCGAGCGGCGCUCCGCUGCCGGCAGCUCACGGCCACGUGGCUGCCCUCCCCUCGUCCACGGGGAGCCGACUCAACUCAUCGGCCUAACGAGCUCAUCAGCUCGGUGUUUGCACCUCCGAUUUCCCACGACGGGGUUAGUGGCGAACUUCGAUAUACCAUGCGCCGUGCGUGUGUACGCAUCGGCAAAUACUCGACUGACUCGACACUCAACUCGCCAUGAGCGAUGGGGCCAGUUGUGGAGAGAGUGGAGGAGUUCCCGUAGCUGGGCACUGCGCCUAUUGACUACUUCCAGUUUGGCAGCAGAAGUCUCACUCCGAAUCAGUCGAGCGGCAUUUUCUUUUCGUUCAAAGUUUCGGUUCGAUGACAAAUAUCUGGACCGGUACUGGGCCUCCCUUAGGUCAACUCAGCCUUAAAUGAGUACCUGGCGCGGUGUGUAAAACAUCAGCACGCGGGGGAGACCAAGGCGACCGGGCGUGAUGCUGGCCACCCACCCCCUCUUGUGCUGUGUCAGCCUUCAUAGGUGCUCGCUCAGAGCAGCACUUGCCCCUACAGUCUGUUAAGCCUAUACGGAGGGAGGGGGGGGAGUCUCAGUCUUUGUUUUGUUUGCGAACUUAACUUGGCACGGGCGGCAGCGGUGAGCACGAGAGCGCGUUGCACGCUGCACUGUUAUUUGUUCGUGCUCGCGGCCGAGGGCAUUAAUCACAGCGACACACGUGGCGUGCCCACACGGCAGGGUUAAUGCUCCACUGUCUGACAUCUGCUCAACGUAAAGACGGGGGGGGGGGGUGGGAGGUUUGGACGUAAGAGCUCAAGGUAUAAACGCAUAAAUUGCAAGUGGGAUUAACCAGUCCAUUAAAUAGGCUUUUAAUUCGCAAGCUGAAUUUAAAUGCAGCCCUGCAAUGAGUUUCGCACAAUGGCGUUUCGAGCUUUGCUAAAAAUUAUACAGCUGCCGGCUGCAUGCCAAGUGUGGCUGUUUAUAUCCGGCAAUGUCUGUCCCAACCCAGCUGUACAUGGUGUGUAUAUUUACACAUGCUGUGUAUUUACGUUGCGUCUAUGUUUAUGCUGUACUUUGCGUGUGCCUGUGUGUGUCCUGUGGUCUUGGUAAGGGCGGUGGGUGCUGCGAUGCUUGGCACACUGCGCGAUGAACCCGGCCACCUGAGUUUGCUAUCCGGACACGAUGCACGUCAGUGACGAGUGAUAUCUGAACCGGUUCUGGACACCCAGCACCUUCCACCUCCCACUGACCACCGUGGUGAAGUAUGGUCAAAUAACCUUCGCGACCGACAUGGCGUGGGAUAGCCCUCAUCCAGCAGUGGAUUGAUCAAGGCUGUAAAUUGAUAUUAAUUUUGUUAUUUUAUACGGCGCACACAAUUCCCAUAAAAAUACGCUUAAUAUUUACAGACUGAAUUUAGUAGGUGUUGGCUCCACACAUUCUCGUAUAAUCGCCGUAGAAAACCACAUUUCAUCUGGCGGCAAUUACAUUCUAUUAUAAUAUAUCUAAAUGGCAAUUACGGUCGACAAUUAGUGCAUCUAAACAGUUAUAGAAAUUCCAUUGGCAAGAUUAGCAGAAGCAUCUGAAUUGGGGAUUAUUUUGCAUUUUACAAUUAAUCGUGGCUGCCUGGACACGAUAAACACUCUGUCUAGAAUUCAGCAGCUUCAAAAGUGACGCCUCUCUCAAAGUAACCACUGUAUGUACGUAUGUGGAACUUCUUUCGCACCGUAUGUAGCCAACCGUGUUCAUUGGGAAGUACAACAAACUAAACACAACAAGCAGUUCUAGAGAAAUUAGUUUUCAAUCUAGAUUGAAAAGUGCAUCACUCUUGGGGCUUCCUAAUAUCGGAAGGAAGAGCGUUCCAGACGGCCCCAGAAGCGGCGCAUCUGAAAGGAGGGGAUUGGCGGAACGAGAGUUGUAUGGAUUAUAAAACACCAGGACACACAGAGGACGACACCAUGGUGUUAUGGUGACCGCGCUGGACCUGCAAUGCGGAGGUCGCCAGUUCGAACCGAACUCCCGGCGUGGCAGCAGUUGAAGCAAUGGGGAAAGUUCCGCAAAUCCUUCACAUCCGCCCAGCACCACGAUUGGUCGAUGGGGCAGGUCCGCGUGUGGUAGGGUAAAGUGUGGGUAGUCCCACUUCUCCACAGACGUCCUCGCCGGCGUGCCAGGAUCGACCGAAGCCCCCUCUGCAGGGGGUUCUCUUUAGCUCCCUCCACUGGAGGCCCUUUCUCCAGCAGUGGCGUAGAGCGAGCAUUUGCAUUACUGCGCCUUUACCCUUCCACACGCGGUAAUGAGAUGUGCCCACAAUUGACGACUCGUGCUCGGUUAUUAAGAAAAGCAAAUGCAUCACUUUGUGGUCCUGCGACAGUGAUUCAUCAGCCGCUGCAGUUAUUCUGUUCUUUCAAUAAAUAAUUUAGUAUCAAUGGAAGUUCCUUUUUAUUACGCCGCGCCCUGUGUUGUUUGUGUAAUUUACUCUGCGCCUGCAAGCGAGACAGAACGGACAGACCCAUUACAAACCACGCUAGAAUCUAUUUGUGUUAAUUUCUACGUCAAUGCGGCUCUUCAUGAAAAGUAUUAAUAGAAACGGGGUUAUUACGCGAACACAAACAAAAAAAAGAUUUUUUUUUUACAAAAUCACACACGUGACUUAUCAGCCGCGCUGAUAAAUGAGAUGGAUGAGUGUGCUAACUUCAUGAGACCGCCAAUGAUUACAUCUACGCAACUUCAAUAAGUCCCAGAAAAUCAUUUACAAAUGUAGCUCAUGGCUUGGAUGUGGUUAUUGAUCGGCGCUUGAGUAUAUUUUGGCGAGGUGUGGUAUUAUUUUCUCUUGGUGAGGUGUGGUGAGGCAUUGGUCCGUAGCACCUGAAGUGGGCCAACUUCGGUAUUCAAUGUCUGGCCAAUCAUCAAACGAUUCUGUCAUCUUGGACAGAUAGAUAAAUGUGUCUUACUAAGGUUUUGCUACCUCACUGAAGGUUGAUUUUGGGUGAGACCGCGUGAUUAUCAAUGUGUCGCUAACCCACCUCCAUCUGAUACGGCCAAUUAGUAAGGUUUGUCACGUAAACAAAACGUGCUAAUUAGUUACUAAUUCAGCACACCUGUGUGUUGAAGAGUAAACCCACAACAUUUACAGUUUGAGUACGACGUUUCGCUGGUGAUGACAACCAGCUUCAUCAGACGAUUUGCCAGAAUUGUGACAUUUUGUUGCCUUGGUUGGUAGCAAGCUCAGUGCAGGCCCCCAGGACGCGUGGUGUAUUCUCUUCUGGCGGGGUUAUUUUACUCGUGAGGCUAACUUUAGUAACGUUUAAUCAAUUAAGCAGUUCUAUUUUAAACGAACGUUCAGUGAUAAAGUUACGAGAUUUCCACCUAACUCUUUUGGUCAAAUAUGUGUCGUUAUGUGAUGUGAAAGGAAUCUGGGAAAUUUGGUGGGGUGUAAUAAAAAUAUCUCCUUCACCAGCAAAGCGACACGGCCUAGCAGUCGUGCGUUCGCCGCUUGGUGUAGAGAUUCACGGUUCGCUUCGAGCGGCCGCCAUGGUUAAUACUGCGGUGGUGUGGUAGUAUUAACCAUACCUGAACGACGUGCCGUCUGGCAUCAUAUUAGACGUUAAGAUCCCCUGACGUCGUUUGCAAGAGUAAGGCCAUUAGGUGCUGGUGUUGCCCUGCUCCCACAUCUAUGAUUAGAAUGGUUGGCUACGUACGGUGCGAAAGAAGUUCAACAUACAUAUGUACAUCAAGUCCCAUUUUUGACAAAUUUGGGAUUGACCUUCAUUACUUGAUUGGGAUUACACACACGGCAGUAAUCAUCGCCCCUUACUGGGAGACAAUGCCCCAGGUAACUGUUGUCAAUGAGACUAACCCCUGCGUUUCUUGAGUUCCCCACUUGGUUCAACAAAAUGAACGCAUUCAACUACAUUGGAAGCACUUUUAGGAUGCAGCAAAGCAAGGGGAAUGCAUUGGUGUAAAUGGAGUGAUAAUCUCAUGCCGCUCAUCUGAAACCCGUCGAGUGACCUUAACCUGCGUUUUCUCCGAGGCGCGCGUGGUGGGACGUGGGUGCUGACGCCACACACGCGGCGUUCACCGCGCGGCGCUCACCGGGCGGUGAGCAUCGCGUGGUGCUCACCACGUGGUGAGCACCACGUGGUGAGCACCGUGCGGCUCGUCUUGGAAAAGUCAUUCAGAGGCAAGAGCAGCCUUCACACCGCUUGGGGUUAAAAAAUAAAUCCCACUGCCAGUUGGGACUCUCUUCCCUGCCACAGCCGUAGGUCGUCCCGCGGAAGGGAGCCGGUAGCGGGCAGACGGUGACU